CGGGGAGGUACAGGCUUCCAGUUACAGAAUGAAUGAAUCAUGUGGAUGAAGGGCACCACACAGGGACCACAGUCAAUGGUGUAAUGGCAGCGUAUGGUGACAGAUGGGGGAGGCACUAAUGAACGUAGCUUAACACAGAGAGUUGUCAAAUCACUCUGUGUGCACCCGAAACUAAUGUAACAUUCUGUCAACUCUACUUCAAUGAAAAAGUUAAACACAGUUGAAUGUAAGUACAAAUUGUGCGAAGCUAACGGUACCGUUUUACCAUUUGUGUAAAUCAAAAAACAUGGCAUCCUAUAUGUUCAUUGGAUAUUCAGGUAUGUAAAAAUACCUAAAAGGUUCUAUAAAAAAUCAAGACCAACCUACAAAAGUGAUUGCAUCUGAGGCAGUCAUGGUGACUUUGUACUGCUUUGUUUUUACCUUUUUUAACAAAAGGAAACGGUAUGCAUGUCAUAUCUGAGACUUAAGUAGGCGCAUGCAUAGAAAAAUGUAGCGAUGGCAACGGUUGUUUCUAUGUACUAUAAACGUGGGUGACUCCUAGAUUAUUUUCACUUUUCUGUAUUUUAGACAUCUUGAAAAUUAAUGGCAACAAAAAGAAAAAUACGUUCAACCUCUGGGCCAAAGUAAAAAACGAAAAGUGGAAGGCGUAGGUUAUCUGAAAAAUGCAAAUAUUGAGAAUGGUACAAAUCAGAACCGAUGAGCACAGAUAAAAAUGCAGUGUGUGGAGGGAAAUUUCUAGAAUUCUGUGCUUAUGUGACAGCGUACAAACAAAAUAAAGUACGAAUAGAAAUGGAGUAAGGGUCUAAAGAGUUGGAGAAAUAAACCUAAAGAAAGAGGGAAAUGAUCGAGAUAAAUGGAGAAAAUACUACAUUUGAAAAAUGGCUAGCUCUCAUUUAGCAAAGACGUAUUACACGGGCGCACUAAUAACAUUAGCUAUUCUCAUGUAACGAUCCCAGAGCCCAGGGAUGCAGGUGUGCUCUCCAGCGUGUGCUGGGGAGCAGGAGGGAGCACUAACACGGCCUUGCGGAAGGCACACUGGCCCGGGAAAGGAUGAAGCAGCAAACACAUGGGGCUGAGGGUAACUCAGGUGGCCCUCUGGAAAACGGGAGUUGGGUUCCUACUUCAGUUUAUACACCAAAAUCAGGGGCAAAUGGAUCAAAUGUUUCAGUGAGGAAAAGAAAAAAAAAAAGAUCACGAAAGAAUAAGAAAGAGACAAAAAUGUAUUCUUUGGGAGGGCACGCCUUUCUAAACACGACCGUAAGAGAUGGCAGAGGAGAUGAAAAGACAGUUGACGAAAAAGGAAAAUAAACACAAAUGGAUCUUAAACCAGCGAAAAGAGGCCCAGUCUCAUUCAUGGGGAGAGAACCGUGGAUCGCACUUAGUUAUUUUUUUUUCCUAUCAUUUUGGCAAAAAGAAGCAAAAUCUCUGAACACCGCGUUGGUGGGGACUUGGGGAGUGGAAAUCAGCGUGACUCCUUUCGAGACUGGUCCACCUCUCAGGUCACAGGGCCUUUGAACAGCAAUCAUGUUCCUUAGAUGUCACCCCACAGACAUCCUUGCUCACCGGGCCCCAGGUCCCGGGGCAAGAGCGUGCCUCUUUGAUGCAGCAAAUGACUGGAAACAACCCAUGUGGACCUCAGCACAGGUUGAAUUAUUAAGGGAUGGCUCCACAACGAAAUCCGAGGUAGCCACUGAAAAGAAGGAGGCGGACCCCCGUGUCACUGCCCGGGAACAGGUGAGUGGAGGGAAGGCCAGGCUAUGCCACCAUUUGAGUUCCAAACAAGAAUCUGCAAUAAAACAAGACUGACCUCAAGCUGGCAGGUGCUGAGGGUGGCUGUCGGGCAGACGAGGUUUCUCUGCUCUCUCUUCUCCCCCCUUGCGUGUGUGAAAAUUUCCCAAUUUUCAAUAAUCCCUCUCUGCAGAGAGAGACAAAGUGGCAGUGAGCUCUCCUCUGGAUCCGAAGUUGUCUACUAACAACGACUGCUUCUGAGAAAAGAAGCCUGGAGGCAGAGGUGGGAAGGAGACCAAGAGUUUUCCGAGUAACCCUUUGUACUGUUGGAAUUUGUAAUAAUGGCUACACGUUACCCAUUAACAAAUGCAAAGGGUAAAACGCAUCCGUUUUGUUCUUUUUCUUCAGUAUAGCUCGCGCACUUAUGGGAACAGAAAUGAGUGGGGAACAAACAUCCCUUAGAAUACUGUUACCGUGCGAAUGGCUUCCCUCUCAAGUUAUUUCUCUCCAGAGCGAAAUGGGUGCUCCUGCGUGCAAUAGAUGCUUUGAAAGACAUCCGAUGGGUUUGUCGCGCGAAGAAUUGGCAUGUGAUAUGAAACCAAAGAAAUUUCAGUUAAGAUUUCUGGAAGUACUGGGCGGGUGGUGGCAGGGGAGAGGUGAGCAGGAGUCCGAGACCUUGGUAGCUACAUUUUAGACUCGCGGGAGGAAGGGACUCAAAGUUUUAUUAAGUCAUGACUCGUGGAGGAUGGCAGGCCCAUGGGAAUAACGGAUACUGUGACGAGGCGUACUUUUUACUCUUUAAAAUUCGCAUCCAUUCUGUGUUCUUUCCGACGCACCUACUGUGUUCAAGGGACUGGACGUGGGUGUUUCUGCAGGUGCGUAACUCAGUCCGUGCCUUCUGAAAUGGGCCAGAGAGAGUAUCGAGGGGACUCCAGGCCGAGGCAGCAGACACCGACAAGGUGUUAGAGGAGGAGAAGCGUCCUGCCAGAAACACCGAACCGGCAAUCUCCACCGCCACCGAAAACGCACGCGGCCUUCUUCGUGUUCAGCACGCAGCUCCGAUGCCAUCAUGGUCCUGAACAAGGGCCGGUUCCGGGAAAGACCAGCGAGGACAAGAAGGACCGCGUUGUGCAAGCAAAAGGCAAGAGAAACGCAGGAUUCUCUUGUUGCAGACCGAAGCGCCUCCACGCUGCCAGAAGGCUUCCCCCUUCCCCCCCACCCCGAUCACCUUGUAUCUCCGUGGCAAAGCGGGAGGGGAGAUGAAUGAAAGAUUCCGGAGGUGCUCAGUGGUCCAAACUAUGCAAACCAGAGCGGCCCUCACUGUGUAACCAGAACAGUCUCCGCUUCCUUCCCAUCUAGCUACCCUCCGCUUUCAGACCGCAGGGGGCACGUGUGGCUUUGACAACGCACUGGCUUCCCCACCUCUGGGGGCCUCACUAGACAAGCUGUUUGGCCUCAGUCUGCCCCGAUUCAUCCCCUGUAAAAUGGGGCCAAGGAAGGCAUCGGCUCCUCGGCUCCGAGAGAGGGUCAGAAACGCCCGUAAAAUGCUUCACUCAGGAGCACCAGCCAUACGUUUGGUGUUCAAUAGAUGUUUGCUAUUUUAGAACAACUUAAAAUACAAAGAGAAAGCUCCUUAUGCCAAAAAAAAAGUUAGUAAAAUAACACAGACACAGACAUGCACACAUAAAUGCAUUUAUACACUAUUUGGUUAUAGGAAUAAAAACUGGAAAUGAAUGAAUCCCGUCACUGCCGUGUGGAUGGAAUUUGUGUCAUGCCAGAAACAGGGUGGGCAAAUAUUCUCAGGGGCCUAGCAGCAAAAGUCAGUCUGAGAUAUGGGUCCAAGCGUUCUUUUUUGGUACCUAUGGUUUUCCUAAAGAAGCUGAUCUGGCUGGAAAAAUAAACUCGGCCCGUCAGUUCAGUUAUCUAAUUCACCGAUGAGACUGCACGGAGGACAAGCACUGCCUAGCAUUUUCCAGGAAACCAAGGACUUAAAAUAAGCAAAAGUGACCUGAAACCAAAUAGGACCACACAUCAGCAUGUAUAGUUCAAAUGCUACUUUAAGGGGCAAACCUUAAAAUACAGACGAUCACGCUAAGAGAGUGAUGCUCUCGUGAAGUUCCCGCUCUCCUGAAAAAUGGCCCAUCCCUGAAUUGAAGGUGCCGCUUCUGCUCUCUCAGAAUCCUGGCACGUUUCAGUUUGACAGCAGAAAAUUGUGUUUCAAUCUGCUGCUACUUAGCACAGCCCUCUCUAGCUGUAAUUUUCUGGGAGCAGAAAUCUUUUUUUUUUUUUUUUU